UACGAGGGGGGCAAGCGUUGUUCGGAAUUAUUGGGCGUAAAGGGCGCGUAGGCGGUGCGGUAAGCUCACCUGUGAAAACUCUGGGCUCAACUCAGAGCCUGCAGGCGAAACUGCCGUGCUUGAGUGUGGGAGAGGUGCGUGGAAUUCCCGGUGUAGCGGUGAAAUGCGCAGAUAUCAGGAAGAACACCCGUGGCUAAGGCGGCUCUCUAGUACGGUACUGACGCUGAGACGCGAAAGCGUGGGGAGCGAACAGGAUA
rnacentral:rRNA from 1 species